UACCAGCACCCCGAGUGGUCGGGACGAUUAUUGGGCCUAAAGCAUCCGUAGCCGGUCUUGCAAGUCUUCCGUUAAAUCCAGCUGCUUAACAGAUGGGCUGCGGAGGAUACUAUAAGGCUAGGAGGCGGGAGAGGCAAGCGGUACUCAGUGGGUAGGGGUAAAAUCCUCUGAUCCAUUGAAGACCACCAGUGGCGAAGGCGGCUUGCCAGAACGCGCUCGACGGUGAGGGAUGAAAGCUGGGGGAGCAAACCGG
rnacentral:rRNA from 1 species